rnacentral:lncRNA from 10 species
GCCUGGGAGCGCCUCUCGCCCCGUCGCGUUUAUCGAGGAGACAGGUGAAAACUGAGGUUUAGAGAGGGUAAAUAACUUGCCCAAAAUCUGGAAAAGUUUGCCAACCCCUGGUCUUACUCCUCAUUAAGGUUUCCCUUCCUCUCCACCAUUCCCAAAUCUGAGUAUUCCAGAAGAGCUACUGUUUUUUUAAUGAUAUGGUAAAUUAAUUUCUAAAGGGAUUAAAAUGAAUACCUACCUGUUGUAAUGAAAAUAAAUGUAUAACAUAAAGCAAUCUGCAAAAUAGUAAGUAUACACUCAAAAUCUGUUAGCCAUUAUUACCAUUGUUAUUAUUUUUAUUUUCAGUCCAACCAACACUGAUACUGCUGAACUCCUUUUUUUUUAUGGAGUUUAUGGCACAUGUUUAAGUUAAUUAAUUAUGUAAGAUACAUAUAUAUAUGUACACAUGGUAAGGUGGAGCGGUUGUGAUAAUACCACAAGCUGCCUGAAGGGGCAGCCCACCCUAGAUCCUUUCCUAACUGAACAAGAUUCCAAAACACCAGUACCUCUGGUAAGUGGAAGGGCCCAGUCCAUCCCCCAGGCUGUGUCCUUGUGCGUCAGUCCUCUUGCUUCCCUCAGGCUCUACUUCUUUUUCCUACAAGCACAGAGAGCAUUGGGAUCAGUCAUGGAGCCCUGCCAGGGAUGAUGGGGAUUGAGAGCAGCCAAAUACCCUACAGGAGCCCAUGCAGCAGCCCACAGCUCUGCAGAGAGAAACUAAACUGGUGAUUACCAUGAGCUCCAGCCCCGGGUUCACUGUGCCAGUCUCCACUGUGGACAGAGCAAUGGACUGUCUUCCACUUGCUUUCUCCAUCUCCUGUUCUCCUCAACUGAAAAACAAAUUCAGGGCCAAGCCUGAAAGAUUGGUCAUUCUGUUCUGUGGGGAUGGGGAGAAUUUUUAGGACCAGUUACCCAUGGAAAACGCAAAACUAAAAGUCUUUGAAGGCUUAGUUGAUUUCUUUAAGAACUGAGAAUUGAGAAGAUUGGAUGUGUAAUUUUUAUAUAAUAAAUAAUGAAAAAUAAAAUCCUAUUUCCUCUUGUGAAUAGCUAAAGAAGAGGCAGUAAGAUAGGAGAAGAGAAAUGAAAGGCAGUGGAAUUGAAAUGAAUCAGUGGGCCGCCCAGGGCCCCAGGAUCUGGGCUAUAAAGGUUCCUACUUGGACCCUCAAAGAAAGAGUCACAGGACUGUUUUGCAGGCCUAAGACUUAUGCAGAGGUGGCGCCCGCCCGUAAUCCCAGCACUUCGGGAGGCCGAGACGGGCGGAUCGCUUGAGACCAGCCAGGAUAACAUGGCGAAACCACAUCUCUACAACAAAUACAAAAAUUAGCUGGGCGCGGUGGCACACGACUGUGGUUCCAGUUACUCGGCAGGCGGAGGUGGAAGGAUCCCUUGAGCCUCUGGAGGUGGAGGUUGCAGUGAGCUGUGAUUGCGCCACUGCACUCCAGCCUGGGCGACAGAGUGAGACCCUGUCAGAAAACAAAACAAAACAAAAGAAUUCUGUAAGAACUUCUAACAGGUACAUUCCUGUAAGCAUUACCCACCACUGGACUAGGCACUGGGUAGCCUGUAAAAUACAGUAAGAGCCGUCUCUGCACCCAGAAAAUUUACCAUCAUUUUGUGCUGGAAAGACAUGCCCUAGAAAACAAUAAACAGCACGACUGUACAUGAUUCCAUGCCAAAUGACUGCUAGGAAUUAUUUUAUUAAUCCAUUCAACAAAUACUUAUUGAGUAACCACUAUUAGCCAGCCACCGUUUUCCGUGUGAGGACAUAAAAAUGAGUGAGACAAGGUCUCUGCCAUCAAAAAACGAACAGAUCAGUGAGGAAAGACGGAUGUGUCAAGAAAGGCUUUGCAGGUCGAGCGCGGUGAAUCACGCUUGUAAUCCCAGCACACUGGGAGGCAGAGGCAGGCGGAUCAUUUGAGGUCAGGCGCUCGAGACCACCCUGGCCAACAUGGCGAAACUCCAUCUCUACUAAAAAUACAAAAAUUAUCCGGGCAUGGUGGUGCAGGCUUGUAAUCUCAGCUACUCAGGAGGCUGAGGCAGGAGAAUCAUUUGAACCCAGGAGGCAGAGGUUGCAGUGAGCCAUGAUCAUGCCACUGCACUCCAGCCUGGGUGAGCGAGACUCCAUCUCAAAAAAAAAAAAAAAAAAAAAAAAGAGGGAGAGAAAGACUUUACAGAGCUGGUAACACUUAUCCUGGCCUGGAAAGAAAGAAAGAAAGCUUCCUAUGACGCCCUCUGGAUAAAACUUA